rnacentral:rRNA from 1 species
AGCUUAACACAUGCAAGUCGAGCGGGGAAGGGUAGCUUGCUACCUAACCUAGCGGCGGACGGGUGAGUAAUGCUUAGGAAUCUGCCAUUUAGUGGGGGACAACAUUCCGAAAGGAAUGCUAAUACCGCAUACGUCCUACGGGAGAAAGCAGGGGAUCUUCGGACCUUGCGCUAAAUGAUGAGCCUAAGUCGGAUUAGCUAGUUGGUGGGGUAAAGGCCUACCAAGGCGACGAUCUGUAGCGGGUCUGAGAGGAUGAUCCGCCACACUGGGACUGAGACACGGCCCAGACUCCUACGGGAGGCAGCAGUGGGGAAUAUUGGACAAUGGGCGGAAGCCUGAUCCAGCCAUGCCGCGUGUGUGAAGAAGGCCUUUUGGUUGUAAAGCACUUUAAGCGAGGAGGAGGCUCUCCUAGUUAAUACCUAGGAUGAGUGGACGUUACUCGCAGAAUAAGCACCGGCUAACUCUGUGCCAGCAGCCGCGGUAUACAGAGGGUGCGAGCGUUAAUCGGAUUUACUGGGCGUAACAGCG